ACUCAACAAAACACAUGAAAUAACAGGAACAGUGUAUUUCUUACAGAUCAGAGGGAAGAGGGCAGCACACCUCACGGAGUCGAUGGAAACAGGAAAGUCAGACAGGACAGGUGUGCUCAACCAGCAGAUGUAUUCAUGGUUGAAGUGUCAAAAUAUCUGCAACUUAUUUUCGAACACUCAGAAAAAAAUAGAACAUUUGGAGAAAAACAAGAAGAGAGAGAAAAAGAGAA
rnacentral:lncRNA from 1 species